rnacentral:rRNA from 1 species
GUAACACAGGGAGCUUGCUCCUGGGUGACGAGCGGCGGACGGGUGAGUAAUGUCUGGGAAACUGCCUGAUGGAGGGGGAUAACUACUGGAAACGGUAGCUAAUACCGCAUAACGUCGCAAGACCAAAGAGGGGGACCUUCGGGCCUCUUGCCAUCAGAUGUGCCCAGAUGGGAUUAGCUAGUAGGUGGGGUAACGGCUCACCUAGGCGACGAUCCCUAGCUGGUCUGAGAGGAUGACCAGCCACACUGGAACUGAGACACGGUCCAGACUCCUACGGGAGGCAGCAGUGGGGAAUAUUGCACAAUGGGCGCAAGCCUGAUGCAGCCAUGCCGCGUGUAUGAAGAAGGCCUUCGGGUUGUAAAGUACUUUCAGCGGGGAGGAAGGCGAUAAGGUUAAUAACCUUGUCGAUUGACGUUACCC